GCCUAGCUGGCUCAGUAGGUAGAGCAUACAACUCAAUCUCAGGAUCAUGAGUUCAAAUUCCAUGCUGGGCC
rnacentral:tRNA from 1 species